GUAGAGUAGCCUCUCGCUGCAUCCUGCGGUGGACAUCCAACCCGGCCCACAUCCAAGUGUGACGUCAGAAGCCACCACGCCCAUGCCCAAAUUGGACACAUUCUCAUUAACGAAGAAGCAUCGAGAAGAGAAGACUAGAAGACGAAGGAGUACUACAAUUUUGAAAGCAAGUGAUUGUUUGCCAUGUCGCAUCCUACACAUUUUCAGUUCAAGCCUGUUGCAGAUCAAUACUGCCUGGAUGGGUGGUUUGAAUGUCCCCGCUGCAGUUUUAUGACUAAAGAGAAAUUCUCAUUUUCUAUUCAUCUUGAGAACCAUAUAAGUCAUGCAGUGGAGCAUGGAGGUAUGGUGGGAGCAUUUCUCUAGAUAUUGAUACAUUUUUGUGGUUUUAAAUCACAAAUAUGUUUGUAUAAUCUAAAUAUGUACUUGCAUCUCAAA